rnacentral:rRNA from 1 species
UAAGACCUGCGCUUUUGGAGCGGCCGAUGUCUGAUUAGCUUGUUGGUAAGGUAAAAGCUUACCAAGGCUUCGAUCAGUAGCUGGUCUGAGAGGACGGCCAGCCACACUGGGACUGAGACACGGCCCAGACUCCUACGGGAGGCAGCAGUGGGGAAUUUUGGACAAUGGGGGCAACCCUGAUCCAGCCAUGCCGCGUGAGUGAAGAAGGCCUUCGGGUUGUAAAGCUCUUUCAGCCGGAACGAAACGGUUACGGUUAAUACCCAUGACUACUGACGGUACCGGAAGAAGAAGCACCGGCUAACUACGUGCCAGCAGCCGCGGUAAUACGUAGGGUGCGAGCGUUAAUCGGAAUUACUGGGCGUAAAGCGUGCGCAGGUGGUUUUGUAAGUCAGAUGUGAAAGCCCCGGGCUCAACCUGGGAACU